rnacentral:rRNA from 2 species
CAUGUCCUUUUGAUAAUAAUAUAAGGUUUAAUCUGCACAAUGAAAGUUAAAUUGCCGCAGUAUUUUGACUGUGCAAAGGUAGCAUAAUAAUUAGUUUCUUAAUUAGGAACUGGAAUGAAUGAUUGGACGAGAAAAUUUCUGUCUCUUGUUAAAGAAUUUUUGAAUUUUAUUUUUAAGUUAAAAAGCUUAAAUUUUUAUAAAAGACGAGAAGACCCUAUAGAGUUUAAUAUUUUUCUAUAAAUUUUAUGUUAGUAAUUUUUUUUAUAGUAAGUAUUUGUUUGGGGUGAUUGGGAGAUUUAUUUAAUUCUUUCAUUAUUUAAUUGAUGAUUAUUAAUUUAUUUAUCUAAAUUUUUUAAAUUUAAAAUUAAUUACCUUAGGGAUAACAGCGUAAUUUUUCUUUAAAGCUCUUAUUGAAAGGAAAUUUUGCGACCUCGAUGUUGGAUUAAAAUAAAUUUUUGGUGCAGUAACUUAAAAAUUAGGUCUGUUCGACCUUUAAUAUU